CCCUUAGAUGUUCUGGGCUGCACGCGCGCUACACUGAUACUUUCAGCGAGUCCACCACCUUGCCUGGGAGGGUGGGGUAACCUCUGGAAAGUGCAUCGUGAUGGGGAUCGAUUAUUGUAAUUAUUAAUCUUCAACGAGGAAUUCCUAGUAAGCAUGUGUCAUCAGCCCGUGCUGAUUACGUCCCUGCCCUUUGUACACACCGCCCGUCGCUCCUACCGAUUGAAUGAUCCGAUGAAUAUCAUGGAUUGAGAGUACGAAUGGGUUCGCUCAUUUCUGCUGCUCGAGAAGUGAAGUAAAUCUUAUCAUUUAGAGGAAGGAGAAGUCGUAACA
rnacentral:rRNA from 1 species